UUAAGCGACUAAGCGUACACGGUGGAUGCCCUGGCAGUCAGAGGCGAUGAAGGACGUGCUAAUCUGCGAUAAGCGUCGGUAAGGUGAUAUGAACCGUUAUAACCGGCGAUUUCCGAAUGGGGAAACCCAGUGUGAUUCGUCACACUAUCAUUAACUGAAUCCAUAGGUUAAUGAGGCGAACCGGGGGAACUGAAACAUCUAAGUACCCCGAGGAAAAGAAAUCAACCGAGAUUCCCCAGUAGCGGCGAGCGAACGGGGAGCAGCCCAGAGCCUGAAUCAGUGUGUGUGUUAGUGGAAGCGUCUGGAAAGGCGCGCGAUACAGGGUGACAGCCCCGUACACAAAAAUGCACAUGCUGUGAGCUCGAUGAGUAGGGCGGGACACGUGGUAUCCUGUCUGAAUAUGGGGGGACCAUCCUCCAAGGCUAAAUACUCCUGACUGACCGAUAGUGAACCAGUACCGUGAGGGAAAGGCGAAAAGAACCCCGGCGAGGGGAGUGAAAAAGAACCUGAAACCGUGUACGUACAAGCAGUGGGAGCACAGAGCAAUCUGUGUGACUGCGUACCUUUUGUAUAAUGGGUCAGCGACUUAUAUUCUGUAGCAAGGUUAACCGAAUAGGGGAGCCGAAGGGAAACCGAGUCUUAACUGGGCGUUAAGUUGCAGGGUAUAGACCCGAAACCCGGUGAUCUAGCCAUGGGCAGGUUGAAGGUUGGGUAACACUAACUGGAGGACCGAACCGACUAAUGUUGAAAAAUUAGCGGAUGACUUGUGGCUGGGGGUGAAAGGCCAAUCAAACCGGGAGAUAGCUGGUUCUCCCCGAAAGCUAUUUAGGUAGCGCCUCGUGAAUUCAUCUCCGGGGGUAGAGCACUGUUUCGGCAAGGGGGUCAUCCCGACUUACCAACCCGAUGCAAACUGCGAAUACCGGAGAAUGUUAUCACGGGAGACACACGGCGGGUGCUAACGUCCGUCGUGAAGAGGGAAACAACCCAGACCGCCAGCUAAGGUCCCAAAGUCAUGGUUAAGUGGGAAACGAUGUGGGAAGGCCCAGACAGCCAGGAUGUUGGCUUAGAAGCAGCCAUCAUUUAAAGAAAGCGUAAUAGCUCACUGGUCGAGUCGGCCUGCGCGGAAGAUGUAACGGGGCUAAACCAUGCACCGAAGCUGCGGCAGCGACACUAUGUGUUGUUGGGUAGGGGAGCGUUCUGUAAGCCUGUGAAGGUGUACUGUGAGGUAUGCUGGAGGUAUCAGAAGUGCGAAUGCUGACAUAAGUAACGAUAAAGCGGGUGAAAAGCCCGCUCGCCGGAAGACCAAGGGUUCCUGUCCAACGUUAAUCGGGGCAGGGUGAGUCGACCCCUAAGGCGAGGCCGAAAGGCGUAGUCGAUGGGAAACAGGUUAAUAUUCCUGUACUUGGUGUUACUGCGAAGGGGGGACGGAGAAGGCUAUGUUGGCCGGGCGACGGUUGUCCCGGUUUAAGCGUGUAGGCUGGUUUUCCAGGCAAAUCCGGAAAAUCAAGGCUGAGGCGUGAUGACGAGGCACUACGGUGCUGAAGCAACAAAUGCCCUGCUUCCAGGAAAAGCCUCUAAGCAUCAGGUAACAUCAAAUCGUACCCCAAACCGACACAGGUGGUCAGGUAGAGAAUACCAAGGCGCUUGAGAGAACUCGGGUGAAGGAACUAGGCAAAAUGGUGCCGUAACUUCGGGAGAAGGCACGCUGAUAUGUAGGUGAAGUCCCUCGCGGAUGGAGCUGAAAUCAGUCGAAGAUACCAGCUGGCUGCAACUGUUUAUUAAAAACACAGCACUGUGCAAACACGAAAGUGGACGUAUACGGUGUGACGCCUGCCCGGUGCCGGAAGGUUAAUUGAUGGGGUCAGCGCAAGCGAAGCUCUUGAUCGAAGCCCCGGUAAACGGCGGCCGUAACUAUAACGGUCCUAAGGUAGCGAAAUUCCUUGUCGGGUAAGUUCCGACCUGCACGAAUGGCGUAAUGAUGGCCAGGCUGUCUCCACCCGAGACUCAGUGAAAUUGAACUCGCUGUGAAGAUGCAGUGUACCCGCGGCAAGACGGAAAGACCCCGUGAACCUUUACUAUAGCUUGACACUGAACAUUGAGCCUUGAUGUGUAGGAUAGGUGGGAGGCUUUGAAGUGUGGACGCCAGUCUGCAUGGAGCCGACCUUGAAAUACCACCCUUUAAUGUUUGAUGUUCUAACGUUGACCCGUAAUCCGGGUUGCGGACAGUGUCUGGUGGGUAGUUUGACUGGGGCGGUCUCCUCCUAAAGAGUAACGGAGGAGCACGAAGGUUGGCUAAUCCUGGUCGGACAUCAGGAGGUUAGUGCAAUGGCAUAAGCCAGCUUGACUGCGAGCGUGACGGCGCGAGCAGGUGCGAAAGCAGGUCAUAGUGAUCCGGUGGUUCUGAAUGGAAGGGCCAUCGCUCAACGGAUAAAAGGUACUCCGGGGAUAACAGGCUGAUACCGCCCAAGAGUUCAUAUCGACGGCGGUGUUUGGCACCUCGAUGUCGGCUCAUCACAUCCUGGGGCUGAAGUAGGUCCCAAGGGUAUGGCUGUUCGCCAUUUAAAGUGGUACGCGAGCUGGGUUUAGAACGUCGUGAGACAGUUCGGUCCCUAUCUGCCGUGGGCGCUGGAGAACUGAGGGGGGCUGCUCCUAGUACGAGAGGACCGGAGUGGACGCAUCACUGGUGUUCGGGUUGUCAUGCCAAUGGCACUGCCCGGUAGCUAAAUGCGGAAGAGAUAAGUGCUGAAAGCAUCUAAGCACGAAACUUGCCCCGAGAUGAGUUCUCCCUGACUCCUUGAGAGUCCUGAAGGAACGUUGAAGACGACGACGUUGAUAGGCCGGGUGUGUAAGCGCAGCGAUGCGUUGAGCUAACCGGUACUAAUGAACCGUGAGGCUUAACCU
rnacentral:rRNA from 1 species